CAGUAGCCACGGGAAUACGAGGGGGGCAAGCGUUGUUCGGAAUUAUUGGGCGUAAAGGGUGCGUAGGCGGCUUGACAAGUCUUGUGUGAAAUCUAUGGGCUCAACCCAUAGUCUGCACGGGAAACUGUCGGGCUUGAGAAUGGGAGAGGUGAGUGGAAUUUCCGGUGUAGCGGUGAAAUGCGUAGAUAUCGGAAGGAACACCUGUGGCGAAAGCGGCUCACUGGACAUUUACUGACGCUGAUGCACGAAAGCUAGGGGAGCAAACAGGAUUAGAUACCCCCGUAGUCCCUGUCUCUUAUAC
rnacentral:rRNA from 1 species